UAAAAGUUUGUAUGUAUGUUGUGC
rnacentral:piRNA from 1 species